AGAAUCCUUUUUCCCUUCUCGCUUUUUGGAGAUCAAUUUAGAGGGGUUUUUGUUUCUAAUAUGCAGGAGUUCUAUAAAUCCCAUAAUAAGUUGUUAAUCCUCUGAAAAUGAAAACCUAAACCCGCAAAUCUCAAAACCACCUUCUCAAUGCUUCCCUAACCAGAAGCUCUGUUUUGCUGAGCCUUUGUUCGUGUUGUUGUUGCGCGUCUCUUCGAUUUCUUCUCAUCAGAAACUCUUUUAGAUCUCGGUAAGUGUGUAUUUUGCCCUUCUUCCACAGUUGCUCCAAUGGUGACAAGGUGAAUCGCUUUUGUUUGAGGUUUAUGAAUUUGGAUAUUUUGAGAAUUAAAAGAAAAACGAUCUGGUUUCAUAAAUCUGAAAUUUUUUGAAGCGCGAAUGGGUUUUGUCCGUGGGUUGGGUAAAAUAACACUCUCUGUUGAUUUAUAAAAUCACACUCUUAAAUUGGAUGGUUUUCUUUUUUAUGCAUCCUUUUUGAAUUCAUUAGGCAAUGCUCACUCUCCAGUAUUUGUGUUUUAAAUUUGAAGGUGAGAUUUAACUUUGUUAAAAGAAUAGCAACUUGAAAAUGAAGUUUAAUUAGCAAUGCUUAUUCUCUGACAUUUGCAUAUUUUGUUUCAAAAUAAGGAAGAAUUGAUGGUAUCCUUGUCCAUGAUACACAGGUAAGUGUUACUUAUAUCACAAAUAUGUAAUGCUGGUUCACCCUUGUAGCUAUCAAUUUGCCAUUGCCUUUCUAAUUCAAAGAAUUUGUAGAUCAGUUUUAAAAGGGUAGAACAUUAAUCUUUCAUCAUGUUGGGAUUUUGGUGCGGAAUAUCUCCAAGAAGGAGAUGUUCAAUCUGUUCUGUUUGACAGGGAGAAUAAAUGAUAUUGAUCUGUCUAGGAAGAAGAAAGAACAAUUAGUGUUUAUGUUUAUGCUUGUAUAAGAGUCUGGCUAGAAUGUAUAACAUAGGAAGAUUAUUACUCUUUCAGCUCAGGAAAAUGUUCUUAUAGAUAUGUGUUUGAUAAGAAAAAUGCAAGGGGAUGUAUGGUUGAAGAUUGGAGGGAGGAUUUUUAUGGUGAAGGUUAAAUAAGUGGGAUUCACAAGGUAUGGUUCAGUGUGCUUCCGCUAUAUCAAAUAAUAGAAAUGGUGGAACUCCUGUAUGGUGAAUAGCUAACAUAAAUCCCAUAAGAUAUAUAAGUGAUGAAGCAGGGUGUAUUAUGUAACCCAGACAACCCAAUUCAAAUGUGAAGACUUUGCAAGUUCAAUCUGGUGAGGAUGAUGAACAAAGCUUCUCUGGGCCACAAAGUUUUGUUUGUAGGAGAGUUAGAGUGAGUCUAAUGAGAAUUGGACCACAAAAGAAGAGUAAAUCAGAGGCUAAGAGAGUGAGAAACAUAGAGGCACAGAACACUAUUGCUUGAUGAGAAGUUGUAUGAAGAAGACAAAGAUGACUAGAAAAACUCAUCAUGAGGGAUGAAGCUGCGAAAAAGUGUUCGAGAUGUGAAAUGGCAGAGAGAUGGAAACUUUGAAGACCAAUGAGGUUUUUUCUUUGCACGAGCGCCUUUAUCAUUUGUCUUCAUUUUCUUCUCCCUCUUGGAGAUUUCAGGACGUAACUUUUUUUGUCGUUCCUCAUUUGAUAUGGUGUCUUUCUUUGUUAUUUUCUUCCCUUUUUUCAUUUGGCAAGGUCUCCUACAAUAUUACUCAAAAUUUGAAAACUAUUUGGAGUAUAUUGGUGCAUAAAAUAGAUCCUCUAGUAAAUAAAUUAAUAAAUGUGAAUAACUUGGAUUAUA